CUCCUCGUAGCAUAAUGGAUCGUGCACGCGCCUCCUAAGCGUGAGAUACAGGUUCGAUUCCUGUCGAGGAGGCCA
rnacentral:tRNA from 1 species